rnacentral:rRNA from 1 species
AGGUCCCAAGGGUUCGGCUGUUCGCCGAUUAAAGUGGCACGCGAGCUGGGUUCAGAACGUCGCGAGACAGUUCGGUCCCUAUCUGUUGUGGGCGUGGGAAAAUUGAGAGGAUCUGUCAUUAGUACGAGAGGACCGUGAUGGACAAGCCUCUGGUGUACCUGUUGUGGUGUCAGCUGCAGCGCAGGGUAGCUACGCUUGGAAGAGAUAAGCGCUGAAAGCAUCUAAGUGCGAAACUCGCCUCAAGAUGAGUCUUCCAUGAGAGUCCCUGUAGACGACGGGGUUGAUAGGCUGCAGGUGUAAGGUCUGAGAGGAUUUUAGCCGAGCAGUACUAAUUGCUCGAUACUUUUAGAAUG